AUUGAACGCUGGCGGCAGGCCUAACACAUACAAGUCGAGCGGAUGAAGGGAGCUUGCUCCUGGAUUCAGCGGCGGACGGGUGAGUAAUGCCUAGGAAUCUGCCUGGUAGUGGGGGAUAACGUCCGGAAACGGGCGCUAAUACCGCAUACGUCCUGAGGGAGAAAGUGGGGGAUCUUCGGACCUCACGCUAUCAGAUGAGCCUAGGUCGGAUUAGCUAGUUGGUGGGGUAAAGGCCUACCAAGGCGACGAUCCGUAACUGGUCUGAGAGGAUGAUCAGUCACACUGGAACUGAGACACGGUCCAGACUCCUUCGGGAGGCAGCAGUGGGGAAUAUUGGACAAUGGGCGAAAGCCUGAUCCAGCCAUGCCGCGUGUGUGAAGAAGGUCUUCGGAUUGUAAAGCACUUUAAGUUGGGAGGAAGGGCAGUAAGUUAAUACCUUGCUGUUUUGACGUUACCAACAGAAUAAGCACCGGCUAACUUCGUG
rnacentral:rRNA from 1 species